rnacentral:rRNA from 1 species
AACGAACGCUGGCGGCAGGCCUAACACAUGCAAGUCGAGCGGUAACAGGGAAAGCUUGCUUUCUGCUGACGAGCGGCGGACGGGUGCGUAACACGUAGGAAUCUGCCUGGUAGUGGGGGAUAGCCCGGAGAAAUCCGGAUUAAUACCGCAUACGCCCUACGGGGGAAAGGAGGGGAUCUUCGGACCUUUCGCUAUCAGAUGAGCCUGCGUCGGAUUAGCUAGUUGGUAAGGUAACGGCUUACCAAGGCGACGAUGUCUAGGGGUUCUGAGAGGAUGAUCCCCCACACUGGUACUGAGACACGGACCAGACUCCUACGGGAGGCAGCAGUGAGGAAUAUUGGUCAAUGGACGCAAGUCUGAACCAGCCAUCCCGCGUGAAGGAUGACUGCCCUAUGGGUUGUAAACUUCUUUUAUACGCAAAUAAACCUACUUUCGUGAAAGUAGCUGAAGGUA